AUUGAACGCUGGCGGCAUGCUUUACACAUGCAAGUCGAACGGUAACAGGCCGCAAGGUGCUGACGAGUGGCGAACGGGUGAGUAAUGCAUCGGAACGUGCCCAGUCGUGGGGGAUAACGCAGCGAAAGCUGUGCUAAUACCGCAUACGAUCUAUGGAUGAAAGCGGGGGACCGUAAGGCCUCGCGCGAUUGGAGCGGCCGAUGUCAGAUUAGGUAGUUGGUGGGGUAAAGGCCUACCAAGCCGAAGAUCUGUAGCUGGUCUGAGAGGACGACCAGCCACACUGGGACUGAGACACGGCCCAGACUCCUACGGGAGGCAGCAGUGGGGAAUUUUGGACAAUGGGCGCAAGCCUGAUCCAGCAAUGCCGCGUGCAGGAAGAAGGCCUUCGGGUUGUAAACUGCUUUUGUACGGAACGAAACGGCCUGGGUUAAUACCCUGGGCUAAUGACGGUACCGUAAGAAUAAGCACCGGCUAACUACGUGCCAGCCGCCGCCGUAAAAC
rnacentral:rRNA from 1 species